AGUACGGCCGCAAGGUUAAAACUCAAAUGAAUUGACGGGGGCCCGCACAAGCGGUGGAGCAUGUGGUUUAAUUCGACGCAACGCGAAGAACCUUACCUACUCUUGACAUCCAGAGAACUUUCCAGAGAUGGAUUGGUGCCUUCGGGAACUCUGAGACAGGUGCUGCAUGGCUGUCGUCAGCUCGUGUUGUGAAAUGUUGGGUUAAGUCCCGUAACGAGCGCAACCCUUAUCCUUACUUGCCAGCACUUUGGGUGGGAACUUUAAGGAGACUGCCGGUGACAAACCGGAGGAAGGUGGGGACGACGUCAAGUCAUCAUGGCCCUUACGAGUAGGGCUACACACGUGCUACAAUGGCGUAUACAGAGGGCAGCGAACUUGCGAGAGUAAGCAAAUCCCAUAAAGUACGUCGUAGUCCGGAUUGGAGUCUGCAACUCGACUCCAUGAAGUCGGAAUCGCUAGUAAUCGUGAAUCAGAAUGUCACGGUGAAUACGUUCCCGGGCCUUGUACACACCGCCCGUCACACCAUGGGAGUUGAUUGCUCCAGAAGUAGCUAGCUU
rnacentral:rRNA from 1 species